rnacentral:lncRNA from 1 species
GAAAAUUACAAAGAAAAAUUCCAUUACAACAUACUUGCGAUUAGUUAUAGGGCACUCUUCUUUCAAGGGCUUCUUCCGCAUGUAACUUCUCCAUCUGGACUGAUCUUGGGCUCGUUGGACUCCAUUCAUUAUUCAGAUCUUGUUGUGGACUCAGUAUAGAUCGAAUCUGGAGGUAUCAAAUCCUAAUAAUAAUUAAAGAAUAAGUGG